rnacentral:rRNA from 1 species
GCAGUCGAACGAUGAUCCCAGCUUGCUGGGGGAUUAGUGGCGAACGGGUGAGUAACACGUGAGUAACCUGCCCUUGACUCUGGGAUAAGCCUGGGAAACUGGGUCUAAUACCGGAUAUGACUCCUCAUCGCAUGGUGGGGGGUGGAAAGCUUUUGUGGUUUUGGAUGGACUCGCGGCCUAUCAGCUUGUUGGUGGGGUAAUGGCCUACCAAGGCGACGACGGGUAGCCGGCCUGAGAGGGUGACCGGCCACACUGGGACUGAGACACGGCCCAGACUCCUACGGGAGGCAGCAGUGGGGAAUAUUGCACAAUGGGCGAAAGCCUGAUGCAGCGACGCCGCGUGAGGGAUGACGGCCUUCGGGUUGUAAACCUCUUUCAGUAGGGAAGAAGCGAAAGUGACGGUACCUGCAGAAGAAGCGCCGGCUAACUACGUGCCAGCAGCCGCGGUAAUACGUAGGGCGCAAGCGUUAUCCGGAAUUAUUGGGCGUAAAGAGCUCGUAGGCGGUUUGUCGCGUCUGCUGUGAAAGACCGGGGCUCAACUCCGGUUCUGCAGUGGGUACGGGCAGACUAGAGUGCAGUAGGGGAGACUGGAAUUCCUGGUGUAGCGGUGAAAUGCGCAGAUAUCAGGAGGAACACCGAUGGCGAAGGCAGGUCUCUGGGCUGUAACUGACGCUGAGGAGCGAAAGCAUGGGGAGCGAACAGGAUUAGAUACCCUGGUAGUCCAUGCCGUAAACGUUGGGCACUAGGUGUGGGGGACAUUCCACGUUUUCCGCGCCGUAGCUAACGCAUUAAGUGCCCCGCCUGGGGAGUACGGCCGCAAGGCUAAAACUCAAAGGAAUUGACGGGGGCCCGCACAAGCGGCGGAGCAUGCGGAUUAAUUCGAUGCAACGCGAAGAACCUUACCAAGGCUUGACAUGAACCGGAAAGACCUGGAAACAGGUGCCCCGCUUGCGGUCGGUUUACAGGUGGUGCAUGGUUGUCGUCAGCUCGUGUCGUGAGAUGUUGGGUUAAGUCCCGCAACGAGCGCAACCCUCGUUCUAUGUUGCCAGCGCGUGAUGGCGGGGACUCAUAGGAGACUGCCGGGGUCAACUCGGAGGAAGGUGGGGACGACGUCAAAUCAUCAUGCCCCUUAUGUCUUGGGCUUCACGCAUGCUACAAUGGCCGGUACAAAGGGUUGCGAUACUGUGAGGUGGAGCUAAUCCCAAAAAGCCGGUCUCAGUUCGGAUUGGGGUCUGCAACUCGACCCCAUGAAGUCGGAGUCGCUAGUAAUCG